GACGCGCGCUGAGGGGGUGCUUGGCGCAUGCAAGUCGAGCGGAAGCACCCUUCUUUUUUAGGGUGCUCGGGGGGCGAACGGGUGAGUAACACGUGGGUAGCCUGCCCGGGACUUUGGGAUAACUUCAGCAAACUGGGGCUAAUACCAGGUAUCAGCUCCUGCUGCAUUGUGCAGUUUUGAAAUUUUCGGCGGGGGGGGUUGUCCUCGCGGCGUAUCAGUUUGGGGGUAGGGUAGUGGCUUACCAAGGGUGUGACGGCUAGCCGGCCGGAGAGGGUGACCGGCCACAGUGGGACUGAGCUACGGGCUAGACUCCUACGGGAGGCAGCAGUGGGGAAUAUUGCACGAUGGGCGGACGCAUGAUGCAGAAACGGCGGGUGCGGGAUGACGGCCCUCGGGUUGUGACCCGACUUCGCGUGUGACGAAGGGUGAGUGACGGUAAUGGGUAAAGAAGCACCGGCUCACAAAGUG
rnacentral:rRNA from 1 species